rnacentral:sRNA from 1 species
GCUGGGUGCAGUGGUGCACACCUGUAAUCCCAAUGGCUGGGGAAGCUGAGGCAGGAGGAUCGUGAGUUCAAAGACAGCCUCAGCAAAAGCAAGGUGCUAAGCAACUCAGUGAAACCCUAUCUCUA